UCUUACUUCCCUCAGGCGCCAGUCCUUCUGGAAUGUCUAAGGUUGGCAUAGAGAAGCAGCAGCUGGUUUCUUCCAGAAGAGAGGCAGGACAUGUCCUCUUUUUCAGAUUGAGGAAUUGAAGUUCAAAAGGAUUAAGCAACUUGACCAAGAUCACACAGUUAUAAAUCAUGGAACUGAAUCAGAAAACCAAGACAAAGAAAUCUCCUCUAUCAAAUUAUAAGCAACAUCAAUGCUACCAAGAGAGCAGCA